rnacentral:lncRNA from 1 species
AAAUUGCACAUAUACUACCUCACAUGUGCAAAAUCAUGUAACAGCCUUUAGUGUCUGGAAUGUCUUCUAUUUUGCCCAUGAUUCCCAGCUCUUGUUGGGUACUAAGAUAAAUCUCAAUCUUGCCAAUGAAAGGAACCUAUGGUUUCUUUUUCAUCUACAGCAGCCUCUUUCUGCUUAGCUGAAGCUCUUUGGGAUGAAGUCACGAUGUUCAAAGUUCUAGCUCUCUGCCACAGCUGAAUUUCUUAUCGCUAAGGCCAUUGGUGACCAAAGCAAGAGUAGUGAAAUGGUUUCAGUAAAGGAGUGGGGA